GCAUCGUUAGCUCAGCCGGUAGAGCAGAUGGCUCUUAACCAUCGGGUCGCGGGUUCGAACCCUGUACGAUGUACCA
rnacentral:tRNA from 1 species